rnacentral:pre_miRNA from 1 species
AGGAGGAACAGCCCCAGUGGCGGGGCCAGCUCUGCAGCCCUGGAGUCAGCUCCCGCAGUAGCUCCAGAGCUCUCCGUCUGCAGGGCCUGGAGGCUCCGGGGCGGG